UACGUAGGGUGCAAGCGUUAAUCGGAAUUACUGGGCGUAAAGCGUGCGCAGGCGGUCUUGCAAGACAGAUGUGAAAUCCCCGGGCUCAACCUGGGAACUGCAUUUGUGACUGUAAGGCUGGAGUGCGGCAGAGGGGGAUGGAAUUCCGCGUGUAGCAGUGAAAUGCGUAGAUAUGCGGAGGAACACCGAUGGCGAAGGCAAUCCCCUGGGCCUGCACUGACGCUCAUGCACGAAAGCGUGGGGAGCAAACAGG
rnacentral:rRNA from 1 species